rnacentral:rRNA from 1 species
AGCGAACGAGGGAGGAAGGAAGAACACAGGCCAGUCGAACGAACCUUUCGGGGUUAGUGGCGGACGGGUGAGUAACACGUGGGAACGUGCCUUUAGGUUCGGAAUAACUCAGGGAAACUUGUGCUAAUACCGAAUGUGCCCUUCGGGGGAAAGAUUUAUCGCCUUUAGAGCGGCCCGCGUCUGAUUAGCUAGUUGGUUGAGGUAAUGGCUCACCAAGGCGACCAGCAGUAGCUGGUCUGAGAGGAUGAUCAGCCACAUUGGGACUGAGACACGGCCCAAACUCCUACGGGAGGCAGCAGUGGGGAAUCUUGCGCAAUGGGCGAAAGCCUGACGCAGCCAUGCCGCGUGCAUUAUGCAGGUGUGAGGAUUGUAAAAUUCUUUCACCGGGGACGAUAAUGACGGUACCCGGAGAAGAAGACCCGGCUCCCUUCGUC